AUAAUGAAGAUUCACAGAAGUGGAGAGGAUAUGACCAAGUUUUCUCACAUGGGAGUUAAUGGAAGUAGUUUCCCCAACCUGACAUUCAUGGUAAGUGGGGGAAAGAAAAUAACAAGAAUUGUAUGUUUUUUCUGCUUUUUUUCUUAAACGUCAGUUGUAUCUAAAGCUUUACCCGGUCUUCAGCUUAUUGUUUUCUACUUCCUUCUAAUUGGGCCAUAGAAGGGCAUACUGAACCACCUAGGUGUAGCAUAUAAAAUUCACUAUUAUAUGUUCAUUUAUUCUAGCUGCUGUUUAGAAAUGCACUAAAAAAAUUGUGUUUUACUUUUCCACUUCUCACUCUGAAUCUUUUAGCACUCUGAUACUUCACUUAAACCUGAAAGGAUCUUAGUGAUGAACUGAUUUGUGCCCAAGGAAGCAAACAGAAAAGCAUUGUUAGAUCCAUGUACAGGGAAAUGGAGAGAGGAAGGAAAAAAAAGCACCACUGAAGUAUGUCGAGUGUAGCUUAAGCACACAGAGCAGGAGUGGGCAGUGAAAGAAUCCUGUUUUCAAGCUGCUAACAGGUAGGUGAGCAAUGGAAAUCAGUCUAAACCAGUAAAGCGUACUUGGGUAUUCCUUCAAACUGCACGUUUUUAAGAGGAGGAGGUAAACAGUGCAAAUCAAAAUGCUUUCACUUGAAACAAGGUAAGGUCUAAUUUCACUGUGUCCCAGGAGGAAAGAUGAAGUUGUGCCUGUGACUUACAGACAAGAAAGCUAAUGUAUUAGUUUUGUAAUUAAGUCCUGUAAAUUGUGCAUAACAGAGCAAUGAACUACUUUAGCCAGGCUUUGGAGAGGGAAGAAGAAAAACCUGUGCGCGCUGGGAAUGAGGGCAUGGAACAUAUUCCCUAACUCAAACCUGAAAAACCUGGUGUUAGUCUUGGGUUAUUUCCAGUGACCCCUUGACUCCCAUCUUCCUGCCCCCUGCACAGAUUUGGAACUGGUCAGCCAGUUCUGUUUUUGGAAGGGAGAGGAGACAGAUAUAAUGAAUGGCUUUUAUUGUGCAAUAUUUCAAAACCUUUUUGACUGCAUUCGGAUGGGAUGGAAAAUGUUCUACCCUGCACUGCAGCCAAAAUAAAUAAAACAUAUUCCCUAAACCUGGAUGUGUGUUUCACUCAAACUGGCAGUAGUUAGAGCUCUACUCUGAAACAAGAAUUCAGUUUGACAAUUUUUAGGCCUUGUUCAGCUGAAUGUAACAGCCAAAGAAAAUACUUGGAAAAAAUUAAAUAAUACACAUAUUUACAGCUUGCAGGUGGCAUUAAUUUUUUUGUGGCUCAUAGUAUUUAGUUUUAAGAAUCCCUCUUAGUUGGGCUAGAUUGGAGAGUUCAAAAAAUAUAUAUUGUCUCUUUUUUAAAUUAGUUUUUUCUUUAAUGAGAAUAAUCUCUCUGAAGGAAAAUACAUUUUAUGGAGCUCCCUGAUGGGUGAUAAAUAGUUGUGAUUCAAGGCUUUAAAAGUUUAGGGUCUACCAAGAAACUGAAAAAUGUACAAACACAAGACCCAGCAAACCAGCAGUAAAACCUCCUGACAGGAGCAUGCUAUGCACUGGCUUCCAGCUCCACUAAAGCUUAGUUUAAAUACCCUGUUAUGGUGCAGGCUUACUGCUGGUUUUAGCAUUGCCAAGCAGUUGAGUGAAGUCCUUGCACUGUGUUACUGGGAUACUUCACGUUGUGAAACAUGUUUUAUAGCCCGAAGAGCCAUAUUAAUAAUAACAAUUCUUAAUUUAGGCUGUGAAGGAGUAAAGCUAAAUGAUCAGAAGAGCCACCAUGCCCAGACAGCCUUCACCCUGCAACCAAAGCUGUUAUUUCUCACAAUCCUAACUUGCAAGCAAAAAUCCCUUUGAACAAAUAAUAUGCAAAACUCUUAAUGAUUUUAAGUACAUAAAUGAGCCUCAUUUUUUACAUCAUUGUGAUCAAAUCAUUAAAGAUUACAAACAGGGUCUCAAAGUCCAAAGAGAAGUUGCAGGAGUGGAUAGACAUCAUUCCUUCAAAACCCUAAUGAUGUAGUGAAUAAACAAGCAUUUGUAACAUCAGGGUGAAAAAUACGGAUCUAAUAUCACCAUCCAUUAAAUCAACUGAGUUAUACUGAAGACACUUUUGAAGCCCUGUUUCACUCUGUCAUAAAUAACCUGCCUGUGUCACACAAAUGUUUGGACAAACAAAUGCACUUAGCUCCAUGUUCAGAAGCAGGUGGAACAAGUCUGCCUGCCUGAGUGAAGUGUAUGCUCCUGUCUUCCCCUCCACACAGCCUCUUCUUAAUCGUUAGGGUUAUUUCUCCUUUUAGCUGGCAGGACUUCAGUGCAUCUCUCCAGAGAACCUGGAGCUUGCUGCUGUCUGCAUGAUGGUUUCACCCUGCUGCUGUCUGAUGAAUAUCCAGCUACAGAGGACUGGGCAGUUUAUGCGUGGAACAAGCCAAAAACCCAUCUCUACACUUGGCCUUUUUGAGCAUCAGUGUAACACCAUAGCAAUGUAACACAGCCAUCAGCAUCUGCAAGCUGAUACAGGGGCUGUAUUGGAGGCUGCUGAAGAUUCCUCUGCUGUGCUCUGUGGCUUUGGAAGGUAGCAGGGCCAGGGGUGAUGUUCCUAGAUUUUUACAUUGCUACUCCUUGCACAAUGCAAGAAGCUGUAGAGCCCUCAGCAUCCCUAGAUACACCUCAAGGUAAUUUUGCAAAUGCUUGGGUAUAAACAGGUUAACAUAGAACUGUGGAGUAUAACCUUCUCCUUUAUCAUUGCUCUUAUGUGUGAUGAUAAUAGGCAGUUCAGAGCUGGUAAAAGACGUAUGCAUGUUGAUACAGGACCAGGGAGUUCUAAAAUUGUUUUCACAUUUAUAUGUAAAGCAAUUACUGAUAUAUAGAUACU